AGAUAUUUAUAUUAUUAAUAGGAAAGUCAUAAAUAUAUAAAUUAUAUUAUAUAAUUAAUAUAAUAAUAAAAUAAAUUAUAUAUUUUAUUUAUAAUAUUAUUUCUUUAUAAGAUAAAUAUUAUCUAAUUAAUAAUUAGAUUGAAUAAUAUUUAUAAAGAAAUAUAUAUAUAUAUAUAAAGUCAUUAUAUAAAUUAAAUUAUAAUUUAAAUAAAUUUUAUAUAAAUUAAUAUAAUAUUAAUAAAGUAAUUAGUAUAAAUAAAUAAUAUGAAAAUAAAACUUAAUAAAUAUAUAAAUAUAGUCCGGCCCGCCCCCCGCGGGAGGCGGGCGGACCCCGAAGGAGUGAGGGACCCCUCCCUAACCUAAUGGGAGGGGGACCGAACCCCUUUUUAAGAAGGAGUCCAUAUAUAUAUAUUAAUAAAAAGUAAUAUAUAUAUAUAUAUUGGAAUAGUUAUAUUAUUAUACAGAAAUAUGCUUAAUUAUAAUAUAAUAUCCA
rnacentral:RNase_MRP_RNA from 2 species